rnacentral:lncRNA from 1 species
GGACCAGAAAGAGCUGACAGCCUGAUUUAUCAUCAUGGUAGAAUUUUAUGCCCUCAAAUAAAGGGGUGCUUAUUGGAAAGCCUAGUGCAAUCAUGCUAGCUGCCCAAGCUAAUUGUAAAAUUUCAGAUUUAUUGUGUUCAGUAGAAAUACAGCCUGUACAUUUGAAAUAUUAUCCAAAUGACCUGGCUUCAACUUAGAAAUCUUACAUGAAUUGAAACAAGUGAAUUAGGGAGACCUCUUGCCUUCAGC